ensembl:lncRNA
AGUAACCAGGGGAGGGGGCAAACCCCAAUUGGGGCCCCCACCUCCUCCCCCCGCGGCUUUGGCCACGCACCGGGCAUGGCUGCGCUGCUAUCUGGGCACACUUCGGCCCGUGGGGCUGAGGGCACAGGAAGGGCUGCUCGGGGCACCGCCGCCUCUGUGCCAUCCGUUGUUUUUCGUGCGGAUGACGUUUAAUUAAAGGGAGGUGGGUCCGGUCCUGUCAAACCGCAUCAAAGCCCGCCGAGCCCCAGCCCAGGAACACAGCUCCUCUUGUCCAAGAGCAUCACCUCACGGGGUGUGACUGCAUUCCCUGCAGGGACGGCUGCUGCGCUGCGCCCUGGGGCCGGUCCAACAUCCACCGAAUGGAAAACUCCCAUCGACAUCCAUCAAUCCAAGAUUAGAAAGGGUUUUAUAAAGCCCGCACUACCUCGGGGAUGAACGAUAAAAUACAACCCUUCUCAAAAUUUACAUUUUAAAGAAAUCCAAUUUUCCACGCCCCAUAAAUCCCAGCGCUGUGUGUGGUUAUGGGACACACCGGGCACAGUCGUGGCUCUGCAAACCCUCCUGGUCCCAUCCUUCUCAUUUGGAUCUCACUAUGAAAAGGCACUCAUUGUGUUCUUAGUACAGUGCCGAACCACCUUCCCUCCCCUCAUCCUAAGGAAAACCUUUAAUAAACACUCCAGAUUAAAAAGAAAUGCUCAUCUUCUCACUGAGGUUUCCAACACAGCUUCUGCACUGCUCUACCUCCGGAGUUUGCGCUUCUCAUCUCACACGUGUCUGUAAUGACAGGAACCAAACAACGCAAACAAAGGGGAUCUGCAGAGCUUCACAGCUCUCCUCUUAGGCACGUCCCAUUAAACACUCAAGGUUUGCUUUCCUUAUGUUUAUCUGCAGGAGAACAAUUUUAAAUGCGAGGAUCUGAUUGUGUUGCCAUUUGCCAUGCCUGUUGGCUCCAAAGGGUCUGCUUGGUAGGAAGAGCACCUCCGUGGCGCUGAUGUGGCUCUGAGGGAUGUGUCCACAGGUGGUGGGUUGGGAAUCUGAGCACUCCUUCCCAACCUUAACAGCUCAGUGAUUCUCAGAGGUGUGCUAACUGAUCAGUGCGCUAACCCUGAUCAAUGCGCUAACCCCGAUCACCUGCACUCCUGUGCCACACUGCAGCUUUUUCCUCUUCUUUCAUCAGAUAAAACCAAUAAUCUGUGAUGAGCUUUACAGACACACAGAAAAGUCAAACCGUGCAACAAAAGACCCCGUGUGCUGCAAAGGAAUCCCCCCUGACCUCCCUGCAGAGCCUCCCCCCAUUAACAAGGAAAGCAGCGCCGUCGUUUGUUCCGAUAAUUUGAUUUUAAAAGGGAAGAAAAAAGAUGACCUCAAGAACUCCAACAAGCUCACAACACGUGCACAUCCUGAUAGGAACUUAUUAGCUGAUCUUAAAGCCAGACUCUGAGCUCCUCAAAGCAAGAUGGAAAACAACUCCAACUGCUCGAAGGCAGCCGUGUUUCAGGGUUGCUGCUGACCCCCCAUCCAUACAAGGCUGCUUCUGACCCUGUACCACAGCCAGGCACAGGGAACCCAGCAGAACAGCUGCUCUCCCAUUUGUGUGCAGAAAAUCUCCUCUGAAGGACACCAGCUCACAAAUCCAGACGCAGCAGAACUGGCAGCUUCAAGAUGAAGGUCCUCCACAAACGCCGUUUCCAUCGAUUCCCCACCGGUGCUCUCAAAACUCUGUGCUGCCUGAAAGCCCAGCGCCUAAGACAUGAAUGCAGAAUCAUUACCCGAUGCAGAGCUCGAAGGCUUGGAGAUAAAUAUCCUGCUAUUUAAGCUGCACUUUUACCUUGAAAAGCAAUUUGCAAGCCCGCAGAGCAGCACUGACAAGCCUCACGGAGCCGCGUGCAGAGAGGCUGCGGUGCCACGCUCUCACCCUGGGACUCGGGGCACAUCAAUCUCCUCUCCCUUCAUCAUCACCAGAGCUUAAGACAGGCUCGAGGAAGGUGGAGACACCAAAGAGAACAGGCAAAGCACCGCAAGCAAGUCUUUCCCUGAGAGUUUGGAUCAGGCUCUGAAUUAUGGGGAAUCACAAACAUGAAGGAUGGAAAAGCCCUCUCAGAUCCCCAAAUCCAACCCCAGCCCACCCCACCGUGCCCACUGACACAGCCCUCAGAGCCACAUCUGCCUUCUUUUCUCCUAAACCUGUGCUCGGCACUCCCUGUUUUCCCUUCUUACACCUUCACAUGGAUGGCUAUCGGUGGUGUGCAGCUCCCAAUUAACCUGGGCACUAAUUUAAAAAGAAACAACCAACGUGCUUGUUUCUAAGGAGACAUUACAAACUUCAUAAGGAGGUAACAAAUAUACAAGAGAGGGAAGAGAACUAAAAGGCUUUGGUUUGAAAAUUAAAGUUGUUUGCCACGGCUUGAUGGCUUAAUCAGUCGAUCAAUAUUGUUCAUAGGGCAGGCAGGGAGGGAGCCACGAGCUGUGAUGAAAAAUGCAUGAGGGGACAAGGGAGACCUGGGAGUAGAAAAUUAAAAAGUCAGCCUGUUACAUUUGUCCAAUAUUGGCAGAGAAAUUAAAGUGGUUUGGGGAGGGGUGCUGGGAGGGAAGAGGGGAGCUGUGAUACGCACCGCAUAUCUGCUGAGGGUUCCCUUCCUGGGAGAAACUUUCACAUUAAUUAAGUUGCUUUCUUAGAGAAAAGAUGGAUUUUGUAACCUUUAGCACUUGCGAGCUCCACGAGAACAGUAGGAGGGGUUUGCAUAUGGGAAAAUAAAAAGGGAUUUCUGCCCGUCGGGGGUGUGAUGGGAGAGCACAGUGACCGCGGAGCGAUGCUGUGCCAACAUGGCGAGGCCAGGCCUCCUCCUGCAGCACCGGGUGUGAUUCAGGUACCUCUGUGUUACAAAAUGCAGCUCUGUAACAUCCGUAUCCCAAACAACAAAGCAGCAGCACUGUUCGGCACGAAGACUUUUCCCUCUGUUAGUGACUGCGCAGUGAGGGCUGCCUGGCAGACACGGGCAGCAGGACAAGUGCAGGGCCAGGAGAUGCUCCAGAAGCACGAGCCAGCUGCUCCCCGGGGAUCGUGGUCCUUCCUGCUGGCCUCGAGGAUCUGAGCGCUUCCAAAAGCUGCAACAGACUCCGAUGACAAACAAAACAUCAGGCUGCUCAUCCUGCUGAAUU